rnacentral:tRNA from 1 species
GAUAAGAUGCCUGACUAAAGGAUUAUUUUGAUAGAAUAAAUUAAGUAAAUGAAAUUUUACUCUUAUUG